rnacentral:lncRNA from 1 species
UCACCAUGGCCGCAGUCCGGGGAUGGCAAAACGAGGGGGGAAAGGGGGAAAACACGGCGGGGCGGAAUGGUUAGGAGGGCGUGUUUAAGGGUAUGACGGGGGGCCCCCGCAACCUAGGCGACGCAUUCGCUUCAAUGUCACCAUGGCCGCAGUCUGGGGAUGGCAAAACAGCAUCCCAGGCUCCCAUCACCAUCCCCGCCAUCACCAAUGCCACCGUCACCAAAACUGAACGCUACCAAAACCACCACAGCACUUCCGCCAUCAUCCAUGCCAUGGCAUGAUGUGGAGUGAUGGCGGAAAUCAGUGUUUUGACACUGAAAUGCUGUGUCGAUCGGAAAGCAGCUCCAAUACGGACUGAUAUAAGAUUGAGCCAUUACUCAGUACCAUAUGUGAAGGAACAGGCGCCUGUGGGAGGGAUCAAUGGUUCUGCAAAGCCCGACAUCAGAUGUCCGAGAGGCAACGGACACCACACGUAUGAACACAAAUCCAUUAUACUCAUGGAAUUGCAUAGAUUUUGAGAUCGAAUAAUGACAGUAAAAGAUGCCCUUGCGCUUGCAUGUGUGAAUCCUGGAUCCAUCAGUGCAAGUUGUACCUGUCAUGG